CAAUAGCGUAUAUUAAUGUUGUUGCAGUUAAAAAGCUCGUAGUUGGAUAUCUGGCCUUUGCGUUGACGACCCGCCCUCUUUUGUGAUGUGUGUUGGAGACGUGGGUCUAUCUUCCGGUUGGUGGCUGUUCCCUUUAUUGUGGCGCAGUUCGCGAUCCGGAUCGUUUACUUUGAAAAAUUCGAGUGUUCAUAGCAGGCUUACGCCGUGAAGAUCGCAGCAUGGAAUAAUAACAUAGGACUUGGUGUUCUAUUUGUUGGUUCUGGGACCUAAGUAAUGAUUGAUAGGGACAGUUGGGGGUGGCUGCUAUAGACUGGCCAGAGGUGAAAUUCUAAGACAUCAGUCAUAGAUGCAACUUAUGCGAAAGCAUU
rnacentral:rRNA from 1 species